CGGUGGAGCAUGUGGUUUAAUUCGAAGCAACGCGAAGAACCUUACCAGGUCUUGACAUCCCCUGACAACCCGAGAGAUCGGGCGUUCCCCGUUCGGGGGGACAGGGUGACAGGUGGUGCAUGGUUGUCGUCAGCUCGUGUCGUGAGAUGUUGGGUUAAGUCCCGCAACGAGCGCAACCCUCGACCUUAGUUGCCAGCAUUCAGUUGGGCACUCUAAGGUGACUGCCGGCUAAAAGUCGGAGGAAGUGGGGAUGACGUCAAAUCAUCAUGGCCCUUAUGUCCAGGGCUACACACGUGCUACAAUGGGUGAGACAGAGUGACGCGAAGCCGCGAGGUGGAGCAAAUCGCAGAAAAUCAUCCGUAGUUCGGAUUGGAGUCUGAAACCCGACUCCAUGAAGUUGGAAUCGCUAGUAAUCGCGGAUCAGAACGCCGCGGUGAAUACGUUCCCGGGCCUU
rnacentral:rRNA from 1 species